GAAGAGGCAAUACGCGGCUCCGGUGUGAGCCCCCCCCCCCUAACGGAUGGCAAUGAAAUCGAAGUAAUCCCUCUGCGGUUUUGGCGUUGCAUGAAAUAUUUCUAAACACUCGGAGUGUGAUCAAUUCAUGAAAUUUUUACACAGUGUAGACACAUGUGAUAUAAUAGGUGUGGCAUUAUAUGUAGUACAACGGGUCACUAUUUAUUUGUUGCUGUGAUGUCGAGCUCUGUUUUCUUUAUUAUGACAAGUUGCAAAAUUAGUAGUGGGAAGUAAACUUUUGUUAACUUGUUGGCUGAACCAAUGGAACUACUGUUAUUUUUGAUUUGUUGCUCAACUAGUGCUGCAAUGAUGGAACCGAUUAUUGUGCAUGAUGCAUCCAUCCAUUCUAUCAGAGUGGCUGUGUUUUUUUCUUCUUGUGCUAAGAUUGAUAGCAUCACAUAUCCUAUUAUUUUGUUUCUCCAGUAGAGCCUUGUGAGUUGAUGUGUCUGCCACCGUCCUCGAAUGGUUGUGCAAUAAUAAUGGUCCUAGCUAAUUACUAGUAUGUGCUGUUGCUAAAACAACUUGCUCCUCGAUUAGCAACAACAACAACCACGCUUUGGUUCCCCAAAAUUCAGAUGGCACUUGCAUCUCUACAUACACAGACAUAUGAAUAUGCACCUCGGUUUGGUUCAAUUUGCAUGUUUACAUUUGCUUUAACUUUGACUGAAACUAUCUGGUGGCACUUGCAUCAAUGGUGUGUUCUGCCCUUGUAGAUGUCCUUGGAGAAGAUGGCCAUUGGAGUGUAGGGGAGGAACAACCUUGUCUUGCUCGAGGAGGAGGACCACCCGAUCUCGACGACGGCACGACAACAGCCUUGUCUCCCCCACCACCGCCCCUCGACCUCCUCUCAUGCUGCUGUGGAGUCUUAGAAUUGGAAUGUUAUGUACAUAAAAAAUAUUCUAUGGUCUGUGUUUGCAAAUCCAUGGUUGUUGAAUCAUGUCUGUAUAAGCAUUUGUAAAUAGCUAGCCUUUUUGGCUAA